rnacentral:lncRNA from 1 species
GAGAAUGCCGGUCUCGCGCAAGCGCGCACGCGCCGACCUUGAUCUCGUAGCCGGCGCCAGCAGCCGCGCUUUGGGGCGUCGGCUCACGUGGGGCCGGCAACGCGUCUUCCAGGAUGUUCGCGCGCUAGUCGCCGCUGAGGGGCCGGCGAUGCGCGAGGAGUUCCGGCGAGGAAGGUCGGUCAGUGGACAUGGCCGAGGCCCGCGGUGUCCGCGUGUGGGAGCUGCAGGGCUGAGGAGAGGCCGCCCGCAACCCUCGGGAAUCGUGUGAGGAACAGAAUUGCCAUUGGGCCCAGGGAGAGACUACACUUCUUGUCUGCUUUGUUGCUAGUGCGGCCUUGUGGCCAAGCACAGAACGUGUGCAGUGAUGAUGGUGCAACUUCUAGGUCGUCCCCAGCAUGGAAAAUGAGCCCUGGGCAUGGAAGAUGAGCCCUGGUCCUGCAGCGGUGCUCUUUCCUCUUCUCACAAGCUGGAAUGUGCAUGUGCUCCCACCCAGCUUUGACCAUGGGGCGAAAACAGUACUCUGCAGUCUGGCAGAGCAACAAGGUGGAAAGGGCCUGGGUCCUUGAGUGACGUCAUGAGCCCUCUCACUGUCCCGACUUUGGGACUGUUAUAUGAUAAGGACUUUCUGUGAGUCACUGUCUUUUAGAGUCUCUCUGUUUUAGCUGCCUGGACUUUAUCCUGAAUAAUAUGGCUGUUAUCAUGGGUAUAGUGUUACUAUGAGCCUCAUCUAAGUAAUUUCUACUCUGCCUUUGACCACUAAACUCAUGUUGGACAAGAGUCACUUAGCAUUAUUUUUUCCUCAAUGAAGAGGUUAAGAUGGAGGGAGCAGGAGAAAUUGAGGCCUGUGUUUUACCAGAAGGUGAAGGGCUGUCUUUGCCUUUCCUACAUUUAUGAAGGAUAAUUCUAGACAAAAACAUUAAGUUCAUAUCAAACCAUCUGCUUUGUGAAGCCAUGGGCUUUGCUAGAACUUUCUGUGACAUGACAUUUAUUAACCCGAGUCUACCUGGAAGUUAGAGCUGAGGAAGUUUUCCUAGAGUGGAAAAAGUCCAAUGCACUUGUAAAAGUCAGACCAAGCUCAGCUCAGAUUUCAGUUUUAUUAGAAGUAUGUCACCUUCCUGAGCCCUUAUUAUUUCCCCAUCUGUGAAAUGAGGACACCGUUCUCUCUUUCUAAGCAUUGCUGGGAAGACCACACACCACUGAGACAGAAGGUGGGGCUAGCGCAGUUCUGGGCAUUUUGUACACCCCC